GUACUGAUGAAGAGUCCCAUAGCAGAACGAAACAACUGUCCAGUAC
rnacentral:hammerhead_ribozyme from 1 species